rnacentral:rRNA from 1 species
GUAGCUGGUCUGAGAGGAUGGCCAGCCACACUGGAACUGAGACACGGUCCAGACUCCUACGGGAGGCAGCAGUGGGGAAUAUUGGACAAUGGGGGCAACCCUGAUCCAGCAAUGCCGCGUGUGUGAAGAAGGCCUGAGGGUUGUAAAGCACUUUCAGUGGGGAGGAGGAUUGAUAGGUUAAGAGCUGAUUAAUUGGACGUUACCCACAGAAGAAGCACCGGCUAACUCCGUGCCAGCAGCCGCGGUAAUACGGAGGGUGCGAGCGUUAAUCGGAAUUACUGGGCGUAAAGGGUGCGUAGGUGGUUUAUUAAGUUAUCUGUGAAAUCCCUGGGCUUAACCUGGGCAGGUCAGAUAAGACUGGUUGACUCGAGUAUGG